UACGGGGGGAGCAAGCGUUGUUCGGAUUUACUGGGCGUAAAGGGCGCGUAGGCGGUCAGCACAAGUCAGUUGUGAAAUCUCCGGGCUUAACUCGGAAAGGUCAACUGAUACUGUGCGACUAGAGUGCGGAAGGGGCAACUGGAAUUCUCGGUGUAGCGGUGAAAUGCGUAGAGAUCCGGAGGAACACCAGAGGCGAAGGCGGCCCACUGGGCUGCACCUGACGCUGAACCGCGAAAGCCAGGGGAGCGAACGGG
rnacentral:rRNA from 1 species